AGAGUUUGAUCCUGGCUCAGGAUGAACGCUAGCUACAGGCUUAACACAUGCAAGUCGAGGGGCAUCAGGGUGUAGCAAUACACCGCUGGCGACCGGCGCACGGGUGAGUAACACGUAUCCAACCUGCCCUUUACUCGGGGAUAGCCUUUCGAAAGAAAGAUUAAUACCCGAUGGCAUAACAUGACCUCCUGGUUUUGUUAUUAAAGAAUUUCGGUAGAGGAUGGGGAUGCGUUCCAUUAGGCAGUUGGCGGGUAACGGCCACCAAACCUUCGAUGGAUAGGGGUUCUGAGAGGAAGGUCCCCCANAUUGGAACUGAGACACGGUCCAAACUCCUACGGGAGGCA
rnacentral:rRNA from 1 species